rnacentral:rRNA from 1 species
AACGAACGCUGGCGGCAGGCUUAACACAUGCAAGUCGAACGAGAUCUUCGGAUCUAGUGGCAGACGGGUGAGGAACACGUGGGAACAUCCCUUUCAGUUCGGAAUAACGUUGGGAAACUAACGCUAAUACCGGAUACGUCCUUCGGGAGAAAGAUUUAUCGCUGAAAGAUUGGCCCGCGUCUGAUUAGCUAGUUGGUGAGGUAAUGGCUCACCAAGGCUACGAUCAGUAGCUGAUCUGAGAGGAUGAUCAGCCACAUUGGGACUGAGACACGGCCCAAACUCCUACGGGAGGCAGCAGUGGGGAAUAUUGGACAAUGGGCGCAAGCCUGAUCCAGCCAUGCCGCGUGAGUGAUGACGGCCUUCGGGUUGUAAAGCUCUUUUGUCCGGGAAGAUAAUGACUGUACCGGAAGAAUAAGCCCCGGCAAACUUCGUGCCAGCCGCCGCCGUAA